GCUUCCGUAGUUAAAUGGAUAUAACAGUCCCCUCCUAAGGGACAGUUAUGGGUUCGAUUCCCGUCGGGAGUACCA
rnacentral:tRNA from 1 species